rnacentral:misc_RNA from 1 species
CUGCGAGUUCGCGGGAGAGUAAGUUAUUGCCAGGGUUUUUGUUUUAUACUUUAAACAUUGAUUUUAUUUUUUAUAUUAUUUGAAUAAAACAUUCAAAAACAUAAAAAAUAAAAUAUAUAUUGACAUGGAUUAAACAAAGAUAUAUAUUAUUCUAUGUUGUAUAAACAAAUUGGCAAAAUAGAGAUGGAAGAUAAAAAUAUGGUCAAAGUAAUAAGAGUCUAUGGUGAAUGCCUAGGA